UUUCCGUAGGUGAACCUGCGGAAGGAUCAUCAUUGGAUUUUGAAACUUCAGGCUGCUGCUGGCUCUCCUCGGAGGGCAUGUGCACGCUUGUUGUCCAUUAUUUCUCCCACUGUGCACAAAUUGUAGACCUUUCAGUAGGCCUAUGUUGUUUUUCACAAUCUCUGAAUGUAAUAGAAUGGUUUUGAAUCUUGGGAAAUACAAUACAACUUUCAACAACGGAUCUCUUGGCUCUC
rnacentral:misc_RNA from 1 species